GGGAGGUGGCUCAGGGGUAGAGUGUUUGCCUAGCACACAUGAAGCCCGGGGUUCAAUCCCCAGCACUGCUCCCU
rnacentral:tRNA from 1 species